rnacentral:ncRNA from 12 species
UCCUGACGGCAUUAUGCCGACACUAGCCAAGACAGGAGACUCCAAUG